rnacentral:rRNA from 1 species
UGCAAGUCCAAGUACACGUCCUUGAACGACGGAAACUGCGAACGGCUCAUUAAAUCAGUUGCGAUCUACUCGGCGUUCCGCGCCGCCGGAUAACCGUAGUAAUUCUAGGGCUAAUACGUGCGAAGCGCCCGAAGCCGCGAGGCGACGGGCGUUCUCGCCGGAUGUAGGAACCGACCCGGGGACCGCCGGGGGCAACCCGGCGCCCCCCGAGACGGGGCGAACCACGGUGAAAUGACGGAUCGUCGGCCCCGCGCCGGCGACUCGCCGAAUGAGUUUCUGACCUAUCAACUCGAGACGGCGGGGUAGAGGCCCGCCGCGGUAACGACGGGUAACGGGGAAUCAGGGUUCGAUUCCGGAGAGGGAGCCCGAGAAACGGCUACCACUUCCAAGGAAGGCAGCAGGCGCGCAACUUACCCUAAUCUCGAUUCGAGGAGGUAGUGACAAGAAAUACCGAUGCG